GCUUUACCCAAAGCAUGCAACUGCUCGCUCCUCUCCUUUCCUCGCAAAGGGUAGACUGCAACCCAGCCAGUCCAGCUCACAGGUCAAAGUUAAAUCUGAAACAAUUGGAGGAGUCUUUGAAGUAUGCAAGAAAACCCAGCCUCACCCACAUCCAGGCUUUGGCCCAAGUAUUACAGCUUUGGAAACGUCCCUUAUUUUGUUUCUGCCACCCCAUGCUUUACAGAGGAGUGAUUAAGUUUCAAAUGCCAUAAAACACUGAUGAAACCUG